CAGUUCCAAAAUCUCUCUCAAGCCCACCCACUCUUCUCCAACAGUCCCAGCCACUGUCGCCUCACCAGGACUGUGGAACAGCCCGCUCUGUUUUGCAGCCCAACAGACCCGGGUUCCAAUCUUGACUCCAACUCACCAGCUGUGUGAUCUUGGGCAAGGCACUUGCUCCUGCCCCCCAGGUAAGGGAUUAGCAGCCCAGAGCCAGGGACCUGACCCAGCCUGGAGAGGAUCAGGGAGGACUUCCCAGGGGAGGUGAUGCCUGCCUUGGGUCUUAAAGGAUGAGUGGGAGUUAGCCACGCAGAGAAGAAGUGGGAGCAUUCCCAGCAGAAGCAACAGCUUGAGCAAAGGCCCCCCAGGCAAGGAGCCCAACAGCGUGAGGGGAGCCACGAGCGUUCGGUGUUGCCUGGCAGAUGGGAGAUGAGGCUGGAGCCGGCAGCUGGAGCCAGACCUAAAAGGCUGCUCCCUGACUCCUAGGCCUGAAGGCUAGACUUGAAGCACUGGGUGAUGGGACAGAAUCUGUGGUUGAGAAAGGCCCUCUGAGUGCCCAGCGUAGAGGGGACUAGAAAGGACAGGAGAAGAGGCAGUGGGAGGCCCCUGGGGAGCAGAGCAGAGAGGCAGGGGCUGCGCCUGGGCCAGGGAGGAGAGCGGUCAAAGAGGCCUGAAGCUGGAGGCCAAGGAAGCAUGCAAGGUGCCCCCUACAGUGGAGCCCAGGAGGCCCACUGUAUACCAGUGCUGACAAACACAGCCACAGGCACAUGCGGACAGACAGAACCAAACCCAGACACACAUGACAGAUACAGACCUGUGGCCCCAAACGUGGACUGAUGGGGACCCAGCAGCUGCCGUGAGGACGAACCCACAGCCACCAUGACACAGGAGGCCGAUACAGGAGGAGUGCAACCUGGAAUCACAGGCUCCUUACCUAGAGUGUCCUUUCCCACUUGGUGAACUUCUACUCAUCCUUCAAGACCCAGCUCAAGUGUUCCCUCUUCUACGGAGCUUUCCCUGAACCCCCAGCCAGUCACUUCCUCUGUGUUCCCAACAGCACCUUGUAUAUGGGAAUAACAAUAACAAUAAUAACAAUAAUAAUAAGUGCCAGCUACCAUUGAUUUCAA